rnacentral:lncRNA from 1 species
AUCUUAUUAAAGCAAAAGUUAGGACAUCUUUGGAAGAAGUAAAAGAAAAAAAAGUAGUAAUAGCCUUAGAUAGUAGUGCAUCCACUUUAUUAUAAAUAGUUCAAGCAAAGCUUACAAUUGAAACUAUUGUCAUAUUUGGUGAAUGUGACUUUAAGAAAAUAAAUACAAAUCUUUCAAGUGAGAUACCAUUCGCUACAAGGAUAGUAUUUUU